CCUACGGGCGGCAGCAGUGGGGAAUAUUGGGCAAUGGGCGCAAGCCUGACCCAGCAACGCCGCGUGAAGGAAGAAGGCUUUCGGGUUGUAAACUUCUUUUCUCAGGGACGAAGCAAGUGACGGUACCUGAGGAAUAAGCCACGGCUAACUACGUGCCAGCAGCCGCGGUAAUACGUAGGUGGCAAGCGUUAUCCGGAUUUAUUGGGUGUAAAGGGCGUGUAGGCGGGAGCGCAAGUCAGAUGUGAAAACUCAGGGCUCAACCCUGAGCCUGCAUUUGAAACUGUGUUUCUUGAGUGCUGGAGAGGCAAUCGGAAUUCCGGGUGUAGCGGUGAAAUGCGUAGAUAUCACGAAGAACUCCGAUUGCGAAGGCAGCAUACCGGCUCCAUACUGACGCUGAGGCACGAAAGCGUGGGGAUCGAACAGGAUUAGAUACCCGGGUAGUC
rnacentral:rRNA from 1 species